rnacentral:rRNA from 1 species
UACGGGGGGGGCAAGCGUUGUUCGGAAUUACUGGGCGUAAAGGGCUCGUAGGCGGCCAACUAAGUCGGAUGUGAAAUCCCCAGGCUUAACUUGGGAACUGCAUCCGAUACUGGAUGGCUUGAAUCCGGGAGAGGGAUGCAGAAUUCCAGGUGUAGCGGUGAAAUGCGUAGAUAUCUGGAGGAAUACCGGUGGCGAAGGCGGCAUCCUGGACCGGCAUUGACGCUGAUGAGCGAAAGCUAGGGGAGCAAACGGG